rnacentral:rRNA from 1 species
CAGCCGCCGCGGUAAUACCGGCGGCCCGAGUGGCGGUCACUAUUAUUUGGCUUUAAGCGUCCGUAGCCGGGUUGGGAAGUCCUCCGGGAAAUCUGGCCGCUUAACGGUCAGAAUGCCGGAGGAUACUCCCAGCCUAGGGAGCGGGAGAGGCCGAGGGGAUUCCCGGAGUAGGGGGGAAAUCCUAUAAUCCCGGGAGGACCACCUGUGGCGAAGGCGCUCGGCUGGAACGCGUCCGACGGUGAGGGACGAAGGCCAGGGGAGCAAACCGGAUUAGAUACCCGGGUAGUCCUGGCUGUAAACGAUGCGGACUUUGUGUCGGACAAGCUAUGAGCUUGUCCGGUGCCGGAGGGAAACCGUUAAGUCCGCCGCCUGGGGAGUACGGCCGCAAGGCUGAAACUUAAAGGAAUUGGCGGG